GUUGUGGUGCAGGCAAAACUGCCAAAAGUCUCGAGCCAGAUUCGCUAGAAUUUUGGAUCUCGUACCACCGAGGUGGUUGAUAUAACGGACAGCCGAUACGUUGUCCAUCUUCAGUAGGAUCGAACACUGGGACAGUGUCGGGGAAAGGCUGCGAACCGCAAAGGACCCUGCUAGGAGUUCCAGGCAGAUUAUAUGUAGCAUGGAUUCUGCUUCCGACCAUCGUCCGCCUGUGACAAUAUCUCCACAGCGCGCACCCCAACCAUACGAGCUGGCGUCUGACUCUAUGACUACGUCUGGGGCUGAGCCGAAGAUGGCUCUGCCAUUCCACGCCUCCAUGUGUAGGAGCCACAAUUGGAGUUCUUUUUUCGCUUCCGUGUCCAGAGUCAGAGUAUCCUCGUAUGAG